ACAAACAAUACACUGCUUUCAUGACACUUGUUUUAAGAUAAAUGCUUUUCAAAACAAAUAUACUUCAUUAAUAUUAACUACAAAAAUAAUAAUACUAAUAAUUCUAAAAAUUAUCUGCUGAUGAUGAUAAUAAUAAUAGAUAUUAUAAAGAUGAUAUUAAAGAUAAUGCUACUACAAAUACUAAUGAUUACUAAUUUGCUACCACUUGUACUGCAUUCCCUCCCCAUCUCCAGAACUCUAGUUUAGUUUCCCUAAACCUCUGAACCAACAUAUAAAUCAUUUUUUGUUUAUACUUUUAAAAGGUUCCAAAGAUAAUUCAUAGUUCAGUGCAGUUGUUUUUGGUCGUACUUGAUAUGCGAGUUGGAUUAGCUCUAUGACUGAUUUUUGACACGAACUGGUCGUUUUUUUGGGGGAGUGGCUUUUUUGUAAACUUGCACAACAGGAACUUCACAAGCUGUAUUUGUGCAAGCUUCAGCAAAUCUAGAGGGAACUUCAGAUUCAUUUUGUAUUUCGUGGUUUUAAAAACUUAACCUACAAUGAGAUGAGGAUAAUUAUUACUGCUGUUAUCCUUUUGUUUUGUGUAGAAUUUAUGAACUUCAACCAUAACAAAGACAGCGGCGUCUGAAAUGCAGCUAUUGGUUCACAGUUGGACUUGGAACCCUGACAGCAGUUUACUUCAGCUGAAAUUUUUUCAAGCAAGGUUAUCCAACUUUUCUGAAAAAGAUGCUGUUUGGAUAAAGAAAACCGAGGACUACUUGUCUGAAAAUGAACACCAGCUUGAUUCUCGCGGAACGAAGUCGGACUGAGGCAUCUCUGGCAACAAGCGAAGGCAGGGCUUGAGCUUCCUUCCUAAGUGUGGAAUGAUUCCAGUCAGAUUAUGCAACUUUACUGGAUAACAAUGCUGCACAGAAUAAGCAAAGGGAAGACAAACAACUAUGUUUUAUUUUUCUGAACUGUGGAUUACUAUACUUUUUGGAUAAAGAAGAUUGUGAAUUGUGCGUAUCUGAACAUGGACACUAGCAUGACCUGGGAGAGGUUCACGAGAUGGAGGGCAUUUGGAUAGUAGUCAAGAGGAAAACAUGCAGAGUUAUUGGAGGAUGAGGAGAACCAGAGGAUUCAGCACUGACACCAGCAGAUGAAAGCGCUGCUGGGCCGUUUUGUGUAGGAUCUGUGUGCAAUUAAAUUGGUUCAGAGGAUUCACAAAUUAUAGCACCAUUGCAAAAUAUUUUCAUUCAAGAGGUAGACUAUUCUUGCUGUCUGAAAGAGCUGGGGGCUGUAAAUUAUGAUAAAAUCAAAUAAAUAUUAAAAAAAGUCCCGUGAUGUGGUCGUCCUUUUUGUCACCCAUAAGUACAAUAGCCUACCACUGCAAUGACUCCGUGAUUUCACCUAACUAAAUAUUACCAGCUUUGUUUUCAGAAAGACAUUGAUCAGAAUUGCAAAUAUUUAUAUUAUUAUAAGGAAUAUUAUAUUGAAAUCAUA